AGGAAAACAGUUUUGUGCGAAUUACGCAUCAUUAUAUUACUCUCGCGCAGGACAAAUCUAACACACAGUGUUAAUUCUUUUGUGUAUAGUGUUGAUAAUGUUGAAGAGGAUGGAACUAAAGUCUCCUACUCGACUGAAGCAGCCUCUACUCCGGAGGGAAGCAGAGGGAGAGGAAAGGAUGUCUGGCAAAAAGAGGCAAGCGCCUCAGGUCAGAGUCCCUCUCUGGCGAUGCAGCUGCCUUACAGAGUGAAAAGGACCCAGACAACUUGUCUCAUUGCCUACCGAAUUUCUUUCCAAAAAGAAAGCCAGGUGUGGAGACACCAUUUUCAGUAUGUGUGGACAGUCCAUCUUCAUCUGAACUGUUCAACAUGUACUUUGACCGUGCUGCUAUCAAAACACUGUGUGCCAACACAAACAAAAACGCUCCUAAAAAUAUUGCUGCAGGCAAAAAUUCAAGUGGACUGAGCUCACAGGGGCUGAAAUGUACGAUUACAUUGGCCUAACAAAAUGAGACAUUUUUGACGUGUGAAUUUGAUUUUUCAUGUGGAAUAUCUUUCUGAGGUCAUGUCCAUGUUCCUCACCAUCACUUGGAAUGUUCAUAUGAGUGAUCCUGCGGAAGAUGCUCUCAAUGACAGAAAAAAAGGCACUGGUGAUUAUGACUGCCUGCACAGACUACGUCCACUGUAUGACAGUUUGCAUGUAGCCUGCAAAGCUGUAUACCACCCACAGAAAAACCUCUCUGUGGAUGAGCGCAUGGUCAUCCAUAGAGAGGCUGUCCUCCUACACGGUUGUCCUCCUGUUUUUUCACUCUCUCCGCCUCCGGGGGUUUGUUUACGGAAGUCAUCCUCAGAUGCCAGGUGGCAUCUGACCCGGAAGCACCUCCGCGGGGGAGUCGCCACACCAGCAACUGAGGAGGCGCUCAGCUGUUCCCAAUUAUCUGCCAUCUUAUGAGGGCUAUUUAACUGUGGAGUCAGGCGACACUCGGCGUGGGAAUAUUUACCAAGCCUGAAUUAAGGAUGGAGAGGAGAUUGCUGGGAAGGAAGUCACGAGCACAGAUUCACUUUGGAGGAAGACACGGAUGCACUAUCACACGUUUGGGACAGUUCAGUUCUGUUUCUGAAAGCAGAGACUCUGCGCUUUCCAGUGAUAUUAGGGUCAUUACGGUACUCCAUGGCACGGAAUGACAGCAGCAAGUUGCUGACAUAGCAAAAAGCUGCAGCCAUGCUGAGUCUCCAUUUCGGCUUGUGUUGAAAGUUGGAACUUCAAAGUAUACACACAUUUAUAAAUUUUAAUAACAGGCCACUAAAUCCAGAAUUAUGAUUUAAAAAAAUAAGCAAUGCUUUUUCCUGAAUACUAUUGUCACGUUUGUGCGGGAAGAAACGCUAAAAAAGGCAUUUUCUAAGGACAGUGCAAAAACAGUAAAGAAAGAAAAGACGCCACCUCUUUCCUAUUGGUGGAAAAAUGUACCAUAUCAACCAAUAGACUAUGUGCGCUUUAGCAUAUGCUACUUCCGGUGGGGAAACUCCUGUAUAGUGCUUCGUUUCCGGUGUGAUAUUCGCUCCUUGUUUACGGUCGCGUUUUUCAAAACAAGUCAACAACGAUUUACAUUUCUCAAGAUGUCUUAGCCAUUUACCAAAUAUAUCUGUAGAUGAUGUUCAUUGACUUGUCGAUAUUUUUCCCCCGCGCCUCAGAGCAAAAGAGAGAAAGGAUUGAGUCUUCCUACCCUCUGCUCUUUGUAAUUUAACACGGUCUUUCUGUUUUCGUGUUUUGGGUCCAUCUUCACAGUGGCGAUUGACCACAAAAUAAAGCUACCGGAAAUGUACAACUCUACAUCCGGUCUUAAAA